UAGCUCACUGGUCGAGUCGGCCUGCGCGGAAGAUGUAACGGGGCUAAACCAUGCACCGAAGCUGCGGCAGCGACGCUUAUGCGUUGUUGGGUAGGGGAGCGUUCUGUAAGCCUGUGAAGGUGUACUGUGAGGUAUGCUGGAGGUAUCAGAAGUGCGAAUGCUGACAUAAGUAACGAUAAAGCGGGUGAAAAGCCCGCUCGCCGGAAGACCAAGGGUUCCUGUCCAACGUUAAUCGGGGCAGGGUGAGUCGACCCCUAAGGCGAGGCCGAAAGGCGUAGUCGAUGGGAAACAGGUUAAUAUUCCUGUACUUGGUGUUACUGCGAAGGGGGGACGGAGAAGGCUAUGUUGGCCGGGCGACGGUUGUCCCGGUUUAAGCGUGUAGGCUGGUUUUCCAGGCAAAUCCGGAAAAUCAAGGCUGAGGCGUGAUGACGAGGCACUACGGUGCUGAAGCAACAAAUGCCCUGCUUCCAGGAAAAGCCUCUAAGCAUCAGGUAACAUCAAAUCGUACCCCAAACCGACACAGGUGGUCAGGUAGAGAAUACCAAGGCGCUUGAGAGAACUCGGGUGAAGGAACUAGGCAAAAUGGUGCCGUAACUUCGGGAGAAGGCACGCUGAUAUGUAGGUGAAGCGACUUGCUCGUGGAGCUGAAAUCAGUCGAAGAUACCAGCUGGCUGCAACUGUUUAUUAAAAACACAGCACUGUGCAAACACGAAAGUGGACGUAUACGGUGUGACGCCUGCCCGGUGCCGGAAGGUUAAUUGAUGGGGUUAGCGGUAACGCGAAGCUCUUGAUCGAAGCCCCGGUAAACGGCGGCCGUAACUAUAACGGUCCUAAGGUAGCGAAAUUCCUUGUCGGGUAAGUUCCGACCUGCACGAAUGGCGUAAUGAUGGCCAGGCUGUCUCCACCCGAGACUCAGUGAAAUUGAACUCGCUGUGAAGAUGCAGUGUACCCGCGGCAAGACGGAAAGACCCCGUGAACCUUUACUAUAGCUUGACACUGAACAUUGAGCCUUGAUGUGUAGGAUAGGUGGGAGGCUUUGAAGUGUGGACGCCAGUCUGCAUGGAGCCGGCCUUGAAAUACCACCCUUUAAUGUUUGAUGUUCUAACGUUGGCCCCUGAUCGGGGUUGCGGACAGUGUCUGGUGGGUAGUUUGACUGGGGCGGUCUCCUCCUAAAGAGUAACGGAGGAGCACGAAGGUUGGCUAAUCCUGGUCGGACAUCAGGAGGUUAGUGCAAUGGCAUAAGCCAGCUUGACUGCGAGCGUGACGGCGCGAGCAGGUGCGAAAGCAGGUCAUAGUGAUCCGGUGGUUCUGAAUGGAAGGGCCAUCGCUCAACGGAUAAAAGGUACUCCGGGGAUAACAGGCUGAUACCGCCCAAGAGUUCAUAUCGACGGCGGUGUUUGGCACCUCGAUGUCGGCUCAUCACAUCCUGGGGCUGAAGUAGGUCCCAAGGGUAUGGCUGUUCGCCAUUUAAAGUGGUACGCGAGCUGGGUUUAGAACGUCGUGAGACAGUUCGGUCCCUAUCUGCCGUGGGCGCUGGAGAACUGAGGGGGGCUGCUCCUAGUACGAGAGGACCGGAGUGGACGCAUCACUGGUGUUCGGGUUGUCAUGCCAAUGGCACUGCCCGGUAGCUAAAUGCGGAAGAGAUAAGUGCUGAAAGCAUCUAAGCACGAAACUUGCCCCGAGAUGAGUUCUCCCUGAGACUUAGAGUCUCCUGAAGGAACGUUGAAGACGACGACGUUGAUAGGCCGGGUGUGUAAGCGCAGCGAUGCGUUGAGCUAACCGGUACUAAUGAACCGUGAGGCUUAACCUU
rnacentral:rRNA from 1 species